AAAGAGUGAAGAUGCUGCAGGCAGUGGUACCGAUGACUAUAGUACAGCAGAAACAAGUUUCCAACCUAGUGCUGGGACAGCAGCCAAAAGUUUUGAUUUACUAUGUCCCCUCCCCCUCCUUCUUACUGUUUCUCUCCCUACAAAAAGGAGGAAGGGGUGAGGAUUAGUACCACAAACUCCUGACCACUCACUAGAGCCCCACCUCACGCUUUCCUUGCUUUGCCGGGGGAAUGUGCUCCGCUACCGCGGCCCGGCCGUGCAGCUCCGCAGCCCCCAGCCUGGGGGCUUCGGCCUUGGGGCGGUACGCCAAGCACCGGGCCUGACUCGGAGCGGCUGCGGAGGGGGCACCCACCGCUCCGGCGGCCAGCGCCCAGGUCAUCAGCUGCAAGUUGUAAGCCUGACAGAGGUGAGAGAGGCAGGAUGGGGAGGAGGAGCAACCUGGUUCAGCAAAGGUCACGUAGUAGAUGGGGCCAGCAGGUACAUUGAUGAUGGAGAGAUUUGUAGCAGAAUUCCACCAGUUCUCUCAGGAAUGCACAUGCUAUUUUGUGAUGCAAAGAAAACCCGAUGAAGGCAAGUACAUAUUAAGUUUAAGUAUAGAAUGACA